rnacentral:rRNA from 1 species
AUACGGAGGAUCCGAGCGUUAUCCGGAUUUAUUGGGUUUAAAGGGUGCGUAGGCGGACGAUUAAGUCAGCUGUGAAAUGCCCGCGCUUAACGCGGGAAGUGCAGUUGAUACUGGUUGUCUGGAGUGCCGCUGCCGUGGGGGGUAUGUGUAGUGUAGCGGUGAAAUGCUUAGAUAUCACGAAGAACUCCGAUUGCGAAGGCAGCUUGCUGGACUGUAACUGACGCUGAUGCUCGAAAGUGUGGGUAUCAAACAGGAUUAGAUACCCUGGUAGUCCACACAGUAAACGAUGAAUACUCGCUGUUUGCGAUAUACAGUAAGCGGCCAAGCGAAAGCGUUAAGUAUUCCACCUGGGGAGUACGCCGGCAACGGUGAAACUCAAAUGAAUCGACGGGG